rnacentral:lncRNA from 1 species
GUUCCCAGGGAACAAGCCAUCAGCUGACAACUGGAUGCUCCAGGUGCUCAAGGCAGGAUGGAUGAAAAUUAUAACCUCUUACCUCAUGGAGUUAAUUUCCAAGGUGCCAUCUUCUGAGACACUCAAGAGAACAGAAGGUUUUCUAGCUCGUUCCAGUUUUCAAAUCGUUCCCAAGGGCAGCAACUGGUGACUUUUUCCAAUGACUGGGAGAUCCAAGAAGAAAAUAGG